GUGCUGUCUUUGGCAGCACAUAUAAUAAAAUUGGAACAAAACAGAGAAGAUUAGCAUGGCCCCUGUACAAGGAUGACAUGCAAAUUCAUGAAAUGUUCCAUGUUUUA